rnacentral:rRNA from 1 species
AUUGAACGCUGGCGGCAGGCCUAACACAUGCAAGUCGAGCGAGCGGCGGACGGGUGAGUAAUGUCUGGGAAACUGCCUGAUGGAGGGGGAUAACUACUGGAAACGGUCGCUAAUACCGCAUACCAUCAGAUGUGCCCAGGUGGGAUUAGCUAGUAGGUGGGGUAACGUCUCACCUAGGCGACGAUGCCUAGCUGGGCUGAGAGGAUGACCAGCCAAACUGGAACUGAGACACGGUCCAGACUCCGACGGGAGGCAGCAGUGGGGAAUAUUGCACAAUGGGCGAAAGCCUGAUGAAGCCAUGCCGCGUGUGUGAAGAAGGCCUUCGGGUUGUAAAGCACUGUCAGCGGGGAGGCGUUACCCGCAGAAGAAGCACCGGCUAACUCCGUGCCAGCAGCCGCGGUAAUUC